rnacentral:rRNA from 1 species
GUGCCAGCAGCCGCGGUAAUACGUAGGUGGCAAGCGUUGUCCGGAUUUAUUGGGUUUAAAGGGUGCGUAGGCGGCCCUGUAAGUCAGUGGUGAAAUACUCCAGCUUAACUGGAGGGGUGCCAUUGAUACUGCAGGGCUUGAGUGGAGUCGAAGUAGGCGGAAUUGACGGUGUAGCGGUGAAAUGCUUAGAUAUCGUCAAGAACACCGAUAGUGAAGACAGUUUACUAGGCUUCUACUGACGCUGAGGCACGAAAGUGUGGGGAUCAAACAGGAUUAGAUACCCUCGUAGUCC